UGGGGAAUAUUGCACAAUGGGCGAAAGCCUGAUGCAGCAACGCCGCGUGAGUGAUGAAGGUCUUCGGAUUGUAAAGCUCUGUCUUUUGGGACGAUAAUGACGGUACCAAAGGAGGAAGCCACGGCUAACUACGUGCCAGCAGCCGCGGUAAUACGUAGGUGGCGAGCGUUGUCCGGAUUUACUGGGCGUAAAGGGUGCGUAGGCGGAUGUUUAAGUGAGAUGUGAAAUACCCGGGCUUAACUUGGGUGCUGCAUUUCAAACUGGAUAUCUAGAGUGCAGGAGAGGAGAAUGGAAUUCCUAGUGUAGCGGUGAAAUGCGUAGAGAUUAGGAAGAACACCAGUGGCGAAGGCGAUUCUCUGGACUGUAACUGACGCUGAGGCACGAAAGCGUGGGUAGCAAACAGGAUUAGAUACCCUGGUAGUCCACGCCGUAAACGAUGAGUACUAGGUGUAGGAGGUAUCGACCCCCUUCUGUGCCGC
rnacentral:rRNA from 1 species